GGUCGAUCCAGUGCAGUGGUGUUUACAACUAAUUGAUCACAACCGGUUACAGAUUCCUUUGUUCCUUCUCCACUCCCACUGCUUCACUUGACCAGCCUUAA
rnacentral:Y_RNA from 1 species